rnacentral:rRNA from 1 species
AUUGAACGCUGGCGGCAGGCCUAACACAUGCAAGUCGAACGAGUGGCGGACGGGUGAGUAAUGUCUGGGAAACUGACCGAUGGAGGGGGAUAACUACUGGAAAAGGUAGCUAAUACCGCAUACCAUCGGAUGUGCCCAGAUGGGUUUAGUUGUUAGGUGAGGUAACGCCUCACCUAGUCGACGAUCCCUAGCUGGUCUGAGAGGAUGACCGGCCACACUGGACCGGGACCACGGUCCAGACUCCUACGGGAGGCAGCAGUGGGGAAUAUUGCCCAAUGGGGGCAAGCCUGAUGCAGCCAUGCCGCUUGUAUGAGGAAGGCCUUCGGGUUGUAAAGUCCUUUCAUCGGGGAGGCGGUACCCGCAGAAGAAGCACCGGCUAACUCCGUGCCAGCAGCCGCGGUAAUAC